rnacentral:rRNA from 1 species
GACGAACGCUGGCGGCGUGCUUAACACAUGCAAGUCGAACGCUGAAGCUCAGCUUUUGUUGGGUGGAUGAGUGGCGAACGGGUGAGUAACACGUGAGUAACCUGCCCCCUUCUUUGGGAUAACGCCCGGAAACGGGUGCUAAUACUGGAUAUUCACUGGUCUUCGCAUGGGGGUUGGUGGAAAGGGUUUUUCUGGUGGGGGAUGGGCUCGCGGCCUAUCAGCUUGUUGGUGGGGUGAUGGCCUACCAAGGCUUUGACGGGUAGCCGGCCUGAGAGGGUGACCGGUCACAUUGGGACUGAGAUCCGGCCCAGACUCCUACGGGAGGCAGCAGUGGGGAAUAUUGCACAAUGGGCGCAAGCCUGAUGCAGCGACGCCGCGGGAGGGAUGGUGGCCUUCGGGUUGUGAACCUCUUUCGCUCAUGGUCAAGCCGCAACAAUGGUUGUGGUGAGGGUAGUGGGUAAAGAAGCGCCGGCUAACUACGUG